rnacentral:rRNA from 1 species
GGCAACGGCCAUACCACGUUUGAAAACACUCCGGUUCUCGUCUGAUCACCGAAGUUAAGGCAACGUUGGGGCUUUGGUUAGUAGCUUGGAUGGGUGACCGCCUGGAAUACCAAAUGCUGUUGUCU